rnacentral:snoRNA from 1 species
AGGCCGAUGAUGCUAAUCAUGCUCCUAUGGUUUUUCUCUAAGAAUGUUUCCCAAGAGCUGAGGACC